AGAGUUUGAUCCUGGCUCAGGAUAAACGCUGGCGGCGUGCCUAACACAUGCAAGUCGAACGUUCUCCCUUUCUUCGGAAAGGGAGGGAGUGGCGGACGGGUGAGUAACACAUGGGUACCUACCCCGAAGUGAGGAAUACCUCCGGGAAACCGGGGACAAGACCGCAUAGGCUCUCCUUCACACCAGAGGGAGAGCAAAGC
rnacentral:rRNA from 1 species